rnacentral:rRNA from 1 species
GAUGAAGAAUCUACUAUCAAUAAAUGAAUACAUAGUUUAUUGAGGCGAACCGGGAGAACUGAAACAUCUAAGUACCCCGAGGAAAAGAAAUCAACCGAGAUUCUGUGAGUAGCGGCGAGCGAAAGCGGAAGAGCCAGUAAGUUUUAGCUAGCGUAUUAGAGGAAUUGGCUGGGAAGCCAAAUCAAAGAGGGUGAUAAUCCCGUACUCGAAAGUAUGGUAGUGGAACUAAGCUUACGAUAAGUAAGGCGGGACACGAGAAAUCCUGUUUGAAGAUGGGGGGACCAUCCUCCAAGGCUAAAUACUCCUGAUUGACCGAUAGUGAACCAGUACUGUGAAGGAAAGGCGAAAAGAACCCCGGUGAGGGGAGUGAAAUAGAACCUGAAACCCUGUACGUACAAGCAGUAGGAGCGAGGGCAACCUUGUGACUGCGUACCUUUUGUAUAAUGGGUCAGCGACUUAUAUUUUGUAGCGAGGUUAACUGAAUAAGGGAGCCGAAGGGAAACCGAGUCUUAACUGGGCGUUGAGUUGCAAGGUAUAGACCCGAAACCCGGUGAUCUAGCCAUGGGCAGGUUGAAGGUUGGGUAACACUAACUGGAGGACCGAACCGACUAAUGUUGAAAAAUUAGCGGAUGACUUGUGGCUGGGGGUGAAAGGCCAAUCAAACCGGGAGAUAGCUGGUUCUCCCCGAAAUCUAUUUAGGUAGAGCCUUGAGCGGACACCUUCGGGGGUAGAGCACUGUUUCGGCUAGGGGUCCAUCCCGGAUUACCAACCCGAUGCAAACUGCGAAUACCGAAGAGUGAUACUCAGGAGACACACGGCGGGUGCUAACGUUCGUCGUGGAGAGGGAAACAACCCAGACCGCCAGCUAAGGUCCCGAAGUCUAUAUUAAGUGGGAAACGAAGUGGGAAGGCUUAGACAGCUAGGAUGUUGGCUUAGAAGCAGCCAUCAUUUAAAGAAAGCGUAAUAGCUCACUAGUCGAGUCGGCCUGCGCGGAAGAUGUAACGGGGCUCAAAUAUAGCACCGAAGCUGCGGCAUCAGAAUUUAUUCUGUUGGGUAGGGGAGCGUUGUGUAAGCGGAUGAAGGUGGCUCGAGAGGGUUGCUGGACGUAUCACAAGUGCGAAUGCUGACAUAAGUAACGAUAAAACGAGUGAAAAACUCGUUCGCCGGAAGACCAAGGGUUCCUGUCCAACGUUAAUCGGGGCAGGGUGAGUCGGCCCCUAAGGCGAGGCUGAAAAGCGUAGUCGAUGGGAAACGGGUUAAUAUUCCCGUACUUGGAUAAACUGCGAUGUGGGGACGGAGAAGGUUAGGUUAGCAGACUGUUGGAUGUCUGUUUAAGGUGGUAGGUGGAAGACUUAGGCAAAUCCGGGUCUUUAUAAAACACUGAGAGCUGAUGACGAGGUCUUAAGGGACUGAAGUAACUGAUACCCUGCUUCCAGGAAAAGCCACUAAGCUUCAGGUUUAUCUAAACCGUACUGAAAACCGACACAGGUGGUCAGGUAGAGAAUACUCAGGCGCUUGAGAGAACUCGGGUGAAGGAACUAGGCAAAAUAGCACCGUAACUUCGGGAGAAGGUGCGCUUACAGUAAUUGUAGUCCCUUGCGGAUGAAGGUGAAGUAAGUCGAAGAUACCAGCUGGCUGCAACUGUUUAUUAAAAACACAGCACUCUGCAAACACGAAAGUGGACGUAUAGGGUGUGAUGCCUGCCCGGUGCUGGAAGGUUAAUUGAUGGUGUUAUCGAAAGAGAAGCUCCUGAUCGAAGCCCCAGUAAACGGCGGCCGUAACUAUAACGGUCCUAAGGUAGCGAAAUUCCUUGUCGGGUAAGUUCCGACCUGCACGAAUGGCAUAAUGAUGGCCAGGCUGUCUCCACCCG